rnacentral:rRNA from 1 species
AUUGAACGCUGGCGGCAUGCUUUACACAUGCAAGUCGAACGGCAGCGGGGAGGAGCUUGCUUCUCUGCCGGCGAGUGGCGAACGGGUGAGUAAUACAUCGGAACGUGUCGAGAAGAGGGGGAUAACCACCCGAAAGGGUGGCUAAUACCGCAUAAAUUCUGAGGAAGAAAGCUGGGGACCUGGGAAUAGGCCUAGCGCUUUUUGAGCGGCCGAUGUCGGAUUAGCUAGUUGGUGAGGUAAAGGCUCACCAAGGCGAAGAUCUGUAGCGGGUCUGAGAGGAUGAUCCGCCACACUGGGACUGAGACACGGCCCAGACUCCUACGGGAGGCAGCAGUGGGGAAUUUUGGACAAUGGGGGCAACCCUGAUCCAGCCAUGCCGCGUGUAUGAAGAAGGCCUUAGGGUUGUAAAGUACUUUUGUUAGGGAAGAAAAGUCAGCUGUGAAUAAUGGCUGAUACUAACGGUACCUAAAGAAUAAGCACCGGCUAACUACGUG